AGUCGAACGCGAAAGUUCCCUUCGGGGAGCAAGUAGAGUGGCGCACGGGUGAGUAACACGUAGGUAAUCUACCUUUGGAUUGGGAAUAACAACCGGAAACGGUUGCUAAUACCGAAUAAUGCAGCGGCACCUAAUGGUGACAGUUGUUAAAGCGGGGGAUCGCAAGACCUCGCGUCUGAAGAGGAGCCUGCGGCAGAUUAGCUAGUUGGUAGGGUAACGGCUUACCAAGGCUAUGAUCUGUAGCCGGCCUGAGAGGGCGGUCGGCCACACUGACACUGACAUACGGGUCAGACUCCUACGGGAGGCAGCAGUCGGGAAUUUUGGGCAAUGGGCGAAAGCCUGACCCAGCAACGCCGCGUGAAGGAUGAAAUCCUUCGGGAUGUAAACUUCGCAAGAACGGGAAGAAUAAGCCGGUGCAAAUAUCACCGGCGAUGACGGUACUGUUUGUAAGCUCCGGCUAACUCCGUGCCAGCAGCCGCGGUAAUACGGGGGGAGCAAGCGUUGUUCGGAUUUACUGGGCGUAAAGGGCGCGUAGGCGGCCACCGCAAGUCAGUUGUGAAAUCUCUGGGCUUAACCCAGAAAGGUCAACUGAUACUGCGGGGCUAGAGUGCAGAAGGGGCAACUGGAAUUCUCGGUGUAGCGGUGAAAUGCGUAGAUAUCGAGAGGAACACCUGCGGCGAAGGCGGGUUGCUGGGCUGACACUGACGCUGAGGCGCGAAAGCUAGGGGAGCGAACGGGAUUAGAUACCCCGGUAGUCCUAGCCUUAAACGAUGAAUGCUUGGUGUCUGGGGUUUUAUAGUCCCCGGGUGCCGUCGCUAAC
rnacentral:rRNA from 1 species